rnacentral:rRNA from 1 species
UAGUCCACGCCGUAAACGAUGUCGACUAGCCGUUGGGCUCCUUGAGAGCUUUGUGGCGCAGUUAACGCGAUAAGUCGACCGCCUGGGGAGUACGGCCGCAAGGUUAAAACUCAAAUGAAUUGACGGGGGCCCGCACAAGCGGUGGAGCAUGUGGUUUAAUUCGAUGAUACGCGAGGAACCUUACCAGGGCUUAAAUGUAGAUUGACAGGUUUAGAGAUAGACUUUUCUUCGGACAAUUUACAAGGUGCUGCAUGGUUGUCGUCAGCUCGUGUCGUGAGAUGUUGGGUUAAGUCCCGCAACGAGCGCAACCCUUGUUUUAGUUGCCAUCAUUUAGUUGGGCACUUUAAAAAGACUGCCGGUGACAAACCGGAGGAAGGUGAGGAUGACGUCAAGUCAGCAUGCCCCUUAUGUUCUGGGCUACACACGUGCUACAAUGGUUAGGACAAAGAGUCGCCAACUUGCAAAAGUGAGCUAAUCUCGUAAACCUAAUCUCAGUUUCGGAUCGCGGGCUGCAACUCG